ACACUGUGAGGAUUGACAGAUUGAAAGCUCUUUCUUGAUUCAGUGGGUGGUGGUGCAUGGCCGUUCUUAGUUGGUGGAGUGAUUUGUCUGGUUAAUUCCGUUAACGAACGAGACCUUAACCUGCUAAAUAGUCACGCGAACCGGUCCGCGAGGGCUCAAAGUUCGCGGCUCGACUUCUUAGAGGGACUAUUCGCACCCGCCAGCGAAUGGAAGUUUGAGGCAAUAACAGGUCUGUGAUGCCCUUAGAUGUUCUCGGCCGCACGCGCGUUACACUGACGGAGUCAACGAGCGUUUUUCCUUGCCCGAUAGGGCCGGGUAACCUCCUGAAACUCCGUCGUGAUGGGGAUAGAUCAUUGCAAUUAUUGAUCUUGAACGAGGAAUUCCUAGUAAGCGCGAGUCAUCAACUCGCGCUGAUUACGUCCCUGCCCUUUGUACACACCGC
rnacentral:rRNA from 1 species